rnacentral:rRNA from 1 species
GACGAACGCUGGCGGCGUGCUUAACACAUGCAAGUCGAACGGAAAGGCCCUGCUUUUGUGGGGUGCUCGAGUUGCGACCGGGUGAGUAACCCGUGAGUAACCUGCCCUUGACUUUGAGAUAACUUCAGGCAACUGGGGCUAAUACCGGAUAGGAGCUCCUGCUGCAUGGUGGGGGUUGGAAAGUUUCGGCGGUUGGGGGUGGACUCGCGGCUUAUCAGCUUGUUGGUGGGGUAGUGUCUUACCAAGGCUUUGACGGGUAGCCGGCCUGAGAGGGUGACCGGACAAGCUGGGACUGAACUGAGACACAGACUACUAUGGGAGGCAACAGUGGGGAAGAUUGCACAAUGGGAGGAAGGCAGAUGCAGCCUAGCCGCGCGGGGGAUGACAGGAAUGGGGUAGUAUUGUGAAGCCGUUUGUGACGAAGCGUGAGUGACGGUAAUGGGUAAAGAAGCACCGGCUAACUACGUG